rnacentral:rRNA from 1 species
UACAGGAGGGGGCAAGCGUUGUUCGGAAUUACUGGGCGUAAAGGGCGCGUAGGCGGCCUGCUAAGUCGAACGUGAAAUCCCCGGGCUCAACCCGGGAACUGCGUCCGAUACUGGUAGGCUUGAAUUCGGGAGAGGGAUGCGGAAUUCCAGGUGUAGCGGUGAAAUGCGUAGAUAUCUGGAGGAACACCGGUGGCGAAGGCGGCAUCCUGGACCGACAUUGACGCUGAGGCGCGAAAGCCAGGGGAGCAAACGGGG